CCAUAUUUGGAGCAUAAAAUUUUGUCUGUCCUGCACUGUAGUGAUACAAUGGAGAUUCCAAAUCACUGGGAGGGGAAAUGUAAAUUGACCAGAAGAAAAAUACAAGAGUUUUGCUGUACCAUAAAAGAUUUCUUUUUCCCAGAAUCAAUUACUUUGUGUGAAUACAGACCCAGAAUUACAUUAGGGGCAAAAAAUUGGAAAAUGAGGGGGUAUCCCUCACCUGGUGAAUGGCUGAACAAAUUGUGGUAUCUGAUGGUGAUGGAAUACUAUUGUGCUGAAAGGAAUGAUGAAAUGGAGUAAUUCCAUGUGAACUGGAACAACCUCAAGGAACUUAUACAGAGUGAAAGGAAAGGAACCAGGAAAACAUUGUAUACAGAAAUUGAAACAUUUUGUCACAAUCAAAUGUAAUGGACAUAUUUCCUAGUAGCAAUGCAAUGACCAAGAACAAUCCUGAGGGACCUAUGAGAAAGAACACUAUCCACAUUCAGAGGAAGAACUGUGGGAAUAGAAAUGCAGAAGAAAAACAUAUGAUCACGUGGUUUAAUGGAGACAUGAUUAGGGAUAUUGACUUUAAAUGAUCACUCUAUUACAAAUAUUAAUAAUAUGGAAAUGGGUUUUGAACAAUGAUACGUGUAUAACCCAGUGGAACAGCUUGUCAGCUCCAGGAGAGGAGAGAGAUGAUGGGAGCAAAAGAAUGUGAAUCCUGUUACUAUGGAAAACUAUUCUUAAUUAAUUAAUUAAUUAAAAGAAUGUAUAAAAGAAAUAAGGGUUGGGUAGAUGAGGACAAUAUGGUCCAGGUCCUGGUUCUAAUUCCUACACUGACCAUCUAUGGAAUCCAGGCUUCUCAAUUUCUUCAUAUGCAAAACAAAGAAUUUGGAUUGUAUAUUUGCUAUUGUCCCUUUUUCUUCUAAAAUCCAAUUCCACAUAGGAUUAUGAAUGUCAUCGUCAUCAUCACCAUCACCAGGAAAGAGAAGGUAAUCCUUGGGUGGAAAACAAAGAAAGGAGGGUAGGAGUUAGGAGGAAGGAUGCAAAAGGAAAACUUUAUCUUCUCUAUUUGGCCUAGAGCAAGCUCUGCAUAACUUAAUUAAAAGGUUAUGCUUAUCUCUGAAUUAAGGAAUUACCAUGAUAUGUGUUUUCUAAAUACACAAAGAUAAUAAUGAUAAAACCUCAGAUCUUGUUUAGUUUCUUCCUUCCAAAGAACUUAUGAACCAUGAAGUGUGCCAUACACCUUGAGGGUACUACACAACUAAUUGAUGAAGAUAGAUGAUGAAGAUUAAUCCUUAUACUAAGUUAAUGAGAUUAAUAAGUGUAAAUGUUACUAUGCCCAUUGUGUAGAUGAGGAAAAACAUUACACAUUAAAAAGAUCAGGCAACUGGAGAAAAAAACCAAACAAUUUAGAGCUAGAACCCAGAGUUUGACUGAAGGAAAACAAGACUUAGAGGUAGGAAACAUGGGUUUGAGUUCUAGCUCAGAUAUAUGCUAGGUGUAUGACAAGUUACUUAUCUCUGAGGCUGUUUACUCAUUUACAAAAUAGAAAUAAUAUCUAAUGAAGUUGUGAGGAAUAUAUUUCUUACAGAACUCCUUGGGGUUUUAUAUAAAAAUGAGCCAUUAUUAUGUACCAAUAAUACAUUGCUUGAAUCUUUAGGACCUUGAUGACAGAUUCAUUACUUUUUUUACAGAUAUAGCAUAUAUAGAUAUAGAUAUGUAGACAUAUAUGGCACAGUAUCUAAGAUAGUAUCUGUAGGAUAGCUACAGCAAACAUAAUGUAGCAUAUACUUUGAGAUUAUAGUAUACUCUUUGACAAAAAUAUUGUUCAACAAUCUAUUAUCAAAUCUUUCUUUCAUGAAGAAGGUAUAUAAAAUUUCAAGACCAACACUGCUGCCAAACAAAAACAAAUGAAUAAAUAAAUUGCUACAGUUAUAUGCUGAUUUCCU
ensembl:lncRNA